rnacentral:lncRNA from 1 species
GUCUCUCUCUCUAUCCUACAGGUCCAAGAAACUAACUUGGGAAAGAAGAGGGGAAGUUCUUAUUUUCACAUGCUGAAUAAAUUACCAGAAAUAGAACUUGGCUCAGAACCUCACAUAUCUUCAGACCAAGAACAACUAUGCUGGAGAAGCUGUAUUUCCUUGACCAUCACUGAGGAGGCUCAUCUGCACCUGGAAUGAAUUAAGAUAUCAAUGUCCUAUUUUGACUGCAUGUUGUUCAGAAAUGAGACUUUGGGAAGUCUUAGCAGAGGCCAUCAAGGAACUGAGGAACUGAGGCCCUUUGCUAACAGCCAUGAGGGCACGAUCAUGGAAGUAGAUCUCCCGCCCCUGUCAAGCCUUCAGAUAACUGCAGCCCCAGCUGACUGCUCAACUGCAACCUCGUGAGAAACCCUCAGCUGCAGGACUGCCGAGCUUCGAGGGAGCUGAGAGGAAUGCUGUAUUCAGGCCCUCUUACCCGACUUGACCUUGAGACCAAUGGGUGUGUUGGAAAGAGGCUGGCAAGGUCUGAGGGUACAGCCUGUGGCGGAGGUGGGGCCAGGCAGGCCCAGCCCCUCAAGCCAGGCCGUGGGCCCCAGGGCCCUGCCGGAUGGCCGCUCUCUGGGAGCUGCAUGCAGAGGUGCCUGGUACCCCCAACCGCGCCCCACGGGGCACCUGACCUCCAGAGGAAGGAAAUGAGUCUGGAGAUGCCGUAGACGAAAGAGUUGCCGCUUCCUCCGCCUGGGAUCACUCACAGAUGCCUCAGGGAGGCGGCCGGCCCUGAGUCACGCUGAGCGCUGAGCCGGCUGUGACUCAGCGGGACCGCGGUCCCUUGGCUGCGCCUGGGUCGAUUUG